ensembl:lncRNA
CAGCAAUUCGUAUGCACAGCCAAGUGUGAGAAGCACUGCUGUUAUAAACAUGGAUGGCAAAGAAAAGGACAGCGAUGAAAAAUGUGUUUUAAUGGCGAUCACUGCUGUUUAAAAAGAAAAGGGGGAAGGGUUAAUUAUUUAAUCUUCAGGAACCCCAGUAACUAACGAGGAGAUACAGGGAGCUAGCGGCCAUAGUCUUUACUUCUUUUUGCAACCGGUUGCAAACUCCUAAAAGGUGUUUAUAACUUCCUUCCUCUAACUUGAUAUUCCUUGGUCUGCUCGCCUCCUGCCUGCAUCUCAUUUGCUUGAUGAACCGGCCUCCAUCCUUGAGGACCUGAGCCCUUGGUGAUCCUGGCCGCACAGCAUCACGGCAGACUUCUGCCUGGGUUUACUGCUGGGCAUGAGGGUGUGGGAGGUUCUCCUCGGGAACCCUGCGUUCCAUUCAUACCCCUCGGGGGUGUGUCUGUCUGUGUGUGAGAGGACCAUCCCCCAGGGGCCAAGUGGCAGCCCUAGUCUCCCAUUCAGCGGAAGCAUGAUUGUGCCUCCUGGUGGAAAUGCUUCUCCCUUCAGUUCUAAAACCACCCGACCAUCAGAACUCAGAAUUGCCUCAACAGGAAGCAGGCAGCGGGCAUUGCGACAGGGGUGGAAGUUGCCAUCGGCGCCUCCAACUUUAGUUUCAAGACCCUUUGGGAGACACAUACCACUUCCCUUUCUGGGAACAGUGGGUGAGGAGACAGGCAAAGACAGACGGAGACAUAUAUUCUGCGGAAAACACCAGAAGUCCUGCUCGCCUGAAGCCUCCUCUGCCAAUCGGACUUCGGUGGAUCGUCCUGCAAGAGGUGGAGGGACUUCGAGUCGACAGGCCUCCCAAGACGGACUUUGCCCUCCCCCCAGCUGCUCUCACCUCUGGGGACAGACUGAGCCACCCCCAUGCACGUAGAGCCUGCAUCUCCCCAGGCCAAUCCCAAGCUGCAUGGUCCACAGGCAGAGUUUGCAGCCACAUAGAGCUGGCUGAACACCCUCGCCCUACAUUUUUCUGGCUGUAAAACCCUCACUGAAGCUUAGUUUCCUAAUGAGGAAAAUUAGUCUAAUAAUAUUGCCCUGAUGGGCGGUGGUGAGGAUUCUGUGGGUGACGCUGGACACGCCGUUCGGUGCUCAGACAGGACGCUUUCCCGCAGCCUUUGCUCUGGGGUCUCGGCGACACUCUAGAUGGGUCGUGAGCAUGUGAACAGGAACUCAAGGCUGAUCCCCUGAUUGUUCAAACCACUGUCGUCACCCCCUCCUGAGCUGUGUGUCAGAAGGUGGCCUUUUUGGUAAAUUUAUGAAUAGUAAGGGUUUCUCGAUGGGCUCCAAAGGGACCAAGCACCUUUUUGAGCCUUCCUUGCCUUUUAAUUUUUAAUUUUUAUUUUUAUUUUCUUUUGCUUUUUAUGACCACACCCACCACAUAUGGAGGGUCCCAGGCUAGGGG